ACAUGCCUACAACAUAGUGUUAAUCCACAAGAUCCCAUUAGAACUCCACAAUUAAGCGCACUCAGGAUAGAGUAGUACUAGGAUGGGUGACCACCCAGGAAGUCCUAGUGUUUUACAUGCC
rnacentral:rRNA from 1 species